rnacentral:rRNA from 1 species
UACAGAGGUGGCAAGCGUUGUUCGGAAUUACUGGGCGUAAAGGGCGCGUAGGCGGCUUGGUCAGUCCCGUGUGAAAUCCCUCGGCUCAACUGAGGAACUGCACGGGAAACUGCCUGACUUGAGUCCGGAAGGGGCGAGUGGAAUUCCUGGUGUAGCGGUGAAAUGCGCAGAUAUCAGGAGGAACACCGAUGGCGAAGGCAGCUCGCUGGAACGGUACUGACGCUGAGGCGCGAAAGCGUGGGGAGCGAACAGG